AAUGUCAUGUCAUGGAAUAAGACGGUAGCAUAACACUUAGCCUUCUGAAUACCAAUUUCAAAAAGAAAUGUGUAGGCUACUCAAACUAGUCUAAACAGAUAACAUCAGGUUAGAAAUAAUGGCUGCAUAUAUUAUCACAGAUUCUGUCAAAUGAUUAGCCCGCGACGAACUGCGCAUGCGCUUAUUCUGGUCGAAGUUUCGUUUCGUGAACUUCGCCCCUGACACAUUAUUCAGAUGAUUCCGAUGGACAGUGUACUUUAAUGCGAAUAAAAUGUCUCGAAAACGCAUCACAUUCAAUCAAGAAAAGAAGGACACAUCUGAAAUAGGUCAUACUAACGACGCUCAAGCAGCUAAGGAAGAAACCAAGGUUCAGGACGAGCCGCAUAUGCUGGACUCAUCGAAGCGCGUGAACAUGAAAAAGAAGUCCGCCAAACAAGCGUACAUCGCUUUUCUACCGGAGAAAUACCAACCGCUGGUUGAGGAUGAUAUUGUUGACCUACCACGAGAUGACAAUAUCAAGAAAAUACAAGACAAAUAUAAAAGUUAAGAAAAAAUAUGGGGAAAGCUCUACGUAAAAGCUGGAAGUGUCUGGUGGUUGGACUGCAGAAUUUGAGCACAGCCUAUGCUAUGCCGCUUGGUGCCACUGCCACAAUAGUGUCAGACAUCCACAGAGCCAGAGCUCACGUCUAACACAUGACUCAAAACGAGCCGGUAACAUCAGGAUAGUAUUCCUGAUAUUCUUCUGGUAAUGCACAACUAAUAAAAACAUAUACUGUAA